rnacentral:rRNA from 1 species
GGGGGGAAGAGGACUAACAGGAUUCCCCUAGUAACUGCGAGUGAAGCGGGAAAAGCUCAAAUUUAAAAUCUGGCAGUCUCUGGCUGUCCGAGUUGUAAUCUAGAGAAGUAAUGCCCGUGCUGGACCGUGUAUAAGUCUCCUGGGAUGGGGCGUCAUAGAGGGUGAGAAUCCCGUCUUUGACACGGACUACCAGUGCAUUGUGGUAUGCUCUCAAAGAGUCGAGUUGUUUGGGAAUGCAGCUCAAAAUGGGUGGUAAAUUCCAUCUAAAGCUAAAUAUUGGCGAGAGACCGAUAGCGAACAAGUACCGUGAGGGAAAGAUGAAAAGAACUUUGGAAAGAGAGUUAAACAGUACGUGAAAUUGCUGAAAGGGAAACGCUUGAAGUCAGUCGCGUUGGCCGGGAAUCAGCCUUGCUUUUGCAUGGUGUACUUUCUGGUUGACGGGUCAGCAUCAAUUUYGAUCGCUGGAAAAAGGCCUGGGGAAUGUGGCAGCUUYGGCUGUGUUAUAGCCCCUAGUCGCAUACAGUGGUUGGGAUUGAGGAACUCAGCACGCCGCAAGGCCGGGUUUCGACCACGUUCGUGCUUAGGAUGCUGGCAUAAUGGCUUUAAGCGACCCGUCUUGAAACACGGACCAAGGAGUCUAACAUGCCUGCGAGUAUUUGGGUGGAAAACUCAAGUGCGUAAUGAAAGUGAAAGUUGAGAUCCCUGUCGUGGGGAGCAUCGACGCCCGGACCAGAACUUUUGGGACGGAUCCGCGGUGGAGCAUGUAUGUUGGGACCCGAAAGAUGGUGAACUAUGCCUGAAUAGGGUGAAGCCAGAGGAAACUCUGGUGGAGGCUCGUAGCGAUUCUGACGUGCAAAUCGAUCGUCAAAUUUGGGUAUAGGGGCGAAAGACUAAUCGAACCAUCAAGGGCCC